UUGUAAGUGUUUAUGAGCGUACGGUGGAUGCCUUGGCACCAGGAGCCGAUGAAGGACGUGGGAGGCUGCGAUAUGCCUCGGGGAGCUGUCAACCGAGCUGUGAUCCGAGGAUUUCCGAAUGGGGAAACCCAGCACGAGUGAUGUCGUGUUACCCGCAUCUGAAUAUAUAGGGUGUGUGGAGGGAACGUGGGGAAGUGAAACAUCUCAGUACCCACAGGAAGAGAAAACAACAUGUGAUUCCGUGAGUAGUGGCGAGCGAAAGCGGAUGAGGCUAAACCAUGGGUGUGUGAUAGCUGGCAGGCGUUGCAUCCGUGGGGUUGUGGGGCUUUUCUUCCCGUCACUGUCAUGACGGGCGAGAGUAAGAAACCGGUUGGUUAGUCGAAGUGGUCUGGAACGGCCUGUCGUAGAGGGUGAGAAUCCCGUAGACGAAAACUUGCCGGCUCUCGUGAGAAGUACCCGAGUAGCACCGGGCCCGUGAAAUCCGGUGUGAAUCUGUCGGGACCACCCG
rnacentral:rRNA from 1 species